UACGUAGGGUGCGAGCGUUAAUCGGAAUUACUGGGCGUAAAGCGUGCGCAGGCGGUUUUGUAAGCCAGAUGUGAAAUCCCCGGGCUUAACCUGGGAAUGGCAUUUGGGACUGCAAGGCUUGAGUGCGGCAGAGGAGACUGGAAUUCCUGGUGUAGCAGUGAAAUGCGUAGAUAUCAGGAGGAAUACCGAUGGCGAAGGCAGGUCUCUGGGCUGACACUGACACUCAUGCACGAAAGCGUGGGGAGCAAACAGG
rnacentral:rRNA from 1 species